rnacentral:rRNA from 1 species
CUACGGGAUGCUCCAGUGGGGAAUAUUGCACAAUGGGGGAAACCCUGAUGCAGCAACGCCGCGUGGAGGAUGACACAUUUCGGUGCAUAAACUCCUUUUAUAGGUCAAGAUAAUGACGGUAGCCUAUGAAUAAGCGCCGGCUAACUCCGUGCCAGCAGCCGCGGUAAUACGGAGGGCGCAAGCGUUACUCGGAAUCACUGGGCGUAAAGAGCAUGUAGGCGGGUUAAUAAGUCAGAAGUGAAAUCCAAUAGCUCAACUAUUGAACUGCUUUUGAAACUGUUAACCUAGAGUGUGGGAGAGGUAGAUGGAAUUUCUGGUGUAGGGGUAAAAUCCGUAGAGAUCAGAAGGAAUACCGAUUGCGAAGGCGAUCUACUGGAACAUUACUGACGCUGAGAUGCGAAAGCGUGGGGAGCAAACAGGAUUAGAUACCCUCGUAGUC